rnacentral:lncRNA from 1 species
GGAUGUAUUGUACGACCAAUGCAGUUGGAAACUUUAUUUGGAAGUUCCGGAGCUAUAUUCUCAAGUGGAAAUGAAUAGAAUAUUGCACCAGGCAAAUGAAUCAGAUUAAUAUCGAAAUUUGAUGUUGGGAGAUGAGAUUACUUUGCCCAAAAGCUAUAGCUGAUGGGGGAGGUGCAAUCCACCCUAUAUCACCCAGAAUCAGGCCUAGGAAUCCACCCCAAGCCCACUCCGUUUGGGCCUUACUUCAAAGGACACCUUACAAAGGCGCUAUUGGGUCAUUCCCCAAAUAGCGACAAUAAGACCACCCCCAUUUCAAGUAAGCUCAUGCAUUAAAAAUUUAGCUUGCCUUUCAAGUGGACCUCCUCUUUGGCGUAAUUUUUCCGGUAUCUCAAGAGGAGCCAGUCAUCAUCAAGGCAAGGAAGGCUGCUCGGAAUAAAGUUGAAGGGACCGAGAAGCCAUUGUGAUGGCAUGUAUUCUAGUUUCAUUUUCAUCAGUUUGUGUCCGACCAACCCCGUGUUUACCUAUAAUAUAUUGAUUAGGGGGUUUUGUGGAAAUAAGAAAUUGAGUAAAGGUUUAGAAUUUUUUAAGGAAAUGGAGAGAAAGGGCUGUGUGCCAAAUGUGGUUACUUAUAAUACAUUAAUAGAUGCUUAUUGUAAAUUGGGGAAUGUUGAUGAGGCUUUUAGAUUGAUUAAAUUGAUGUGGGAGAAGAAUUUGGAGCCAAAUGUGAUUACGUUUAAUGUGAUAAUUAAUGGGUUGUGUCGAGAUGGGAGGAUGAAGGAGACGGGUGAGGUUUUUGAGGAGAUGAAGCGGAAUGGUUUGUUGCCAGACGAGAUUACCUAUAACACACUCAUUAAUGGGUUUUGUAAAGAUGGGAAUUUUCACCAGGCACUUGUUGUUCAUGGAGAGAUGGUAAGGAAUGGGCUGUCUCCCAAUGUUGUGACCUAUACUGCUUUGAUUAAUAGCAUGUGUAAAGUGAGGAAUUUGCAUCGUGCAAUGGAGUUUUUCGAUCAGAUGCACUCUAGGGGAUUAAGUCCUAAUGAUAGAACAUAUACAACUCUUAUUGAUGGGUUCUGCCAGCAGGGGUUCGUGGACGAAGCUUAUAGAGUUUUGAAUGAAAUGAUUGGCAGGGGCUUUUCACCAUCCAGUGUGACGUACAAUGCGUUUGUCAAUGGGCAUUGUUUGCUUGGUAGGAUAGAAGAUGCUUUACGAGUUAUUCAAGAUAUGAUUGUGAAAGGAGUACAGCCAGAUGUUGUAACUUACAGUACCAUCGUAUCUGGUUACUGCAGGGAUUUUGAUUUAGAUAAGGCAUUCAGAAUGAAAGAGGAGAUGAUUAAGAAGGGAAUCUUACCAGAUUCCAUUACUUAUUCAUCUCUGAUUCAAGGUCUUUGUGGGCAGAGGAGACUGACAGAAGCUUGUGAAUUAUUUGAAGAAAUGUGGAGAAAAGGUUUGCAACCUGACAAGUUUACAUAUACUACUCUAAUUAAUGCUUAUUGCGUUGAAGACGAUGUUAGCAGUGCUGUCCAACUGCACGAUGCAAUGAUCAAAAGGGGUUUGUUUCCAGACGUUGUUACCUACAGUGUGCUAAUAAAUGGGCUUAACAAACAAGCUCGCAGCAAGGAAGCAAAAAGGCUCCUCUUCAAGUUGUUCUAUGAGCAACCUGUUCCCCACAAUGUGACAUAUGAUUUUCUGAUAGAAAGUUGUAGUAGUAUUGAGUUUCAGAGUGCGAUAGCUCUAAUAAAGGGAUUCUGCAUGAAAGGAUUGAUGAAUGAGGCAGAUCGAGUUGUUGAGAUGAUGCUUGAGAGGAACCACAAGCCUAAUGAAACAAUUUAUAAUAUUCUCAUACAUGGUCAUUGUAGAGGUGGGAACUUGAACAAAGCCAUUAAACUGUAUGGGGAAAUGGUGCAUCAAGGACUUAUUCCUCAUGCUGUAACUGUCAUCGCCCUAAUUAAAGAAGUCCAUAGAGCUGGGAUGAGUGAGGAGCUGAAUCAAAUUAUAAAUAACACAUUAAGAAGUUGUAAGGUCACCGACGGUGAACUUGCCAAAGUCCUUGUCGAGGUCAAUCACAAAGAAGGGAACAUGGAUGCAGUAUUUAAAAUUCUCACUGAAAUGGCUAAAGAUGGCCUUCUUCCAAAUAAUGUGAGAACUACUUAGGCCGGCGGAUGUAUUGUACGACCAAUGCAGUUGGAAACUUUAUUUGGAAGUUCCGGAGCUAUAUUCUCAAGUGGAAAUGAAUAGAAUAUUGCACCAGGCAAAUGAAUCAGAUUAAUAUCGAAAUUUGAUGUUGGGAGAUGAGAUUACUUUGCCCAAAAGCUAUAGCUGAUGGGGGAGGUGCAAUCCACCCUAUAUCACCCAGAAUCAGGCCUAGGAAUCCACCCCAAGCCCACUCCGUUUGGGCCUUACUUCUAAGGAAACCUUACAAAGGCGCUAUUGGGUCAUUCCCCAAAUAGCGACAAUAAGUCCACCCCCAUUUCAAGUAAGCUCAUGCAUUAAAAAUUUAGCUUGCCUUUCAAGUGGACCUCCUCUUUGGCGUAAUUUUUCCGGUAUCUCAAGAGGAGCCAGUCAUCAUCAAGGCAAGGAAGGCUGCUCGGAAUAAAGUUGAAGGGACCGAGAAGCCAUU